rnacentral:tRNA from 1 species
GGGAAUGUAGCUCAGUGGUAGAGCAUUUGCCUAGCAUGCCCAAGGUCCUGGGUUCUAACCUCAGCACUGCAA